GCCCUAGUAACGGCGAGUGAAGCGGCAACAGCUCAAAUUUGAAAUCUGGCCCUCGUGGUCCGAGUUGUAAUUUGCAGAGGAUGCUUUUGGUGCGGUGCCUUCCGAGUUCCCUGGAACGGGACGCCAGAGAGGGUGAGAGCCCCGUACGGUUGGACACCUACCCUAUAUAUAGCUCCUUCGACGAGUCGAGUAGUUUGGGAAUGCUGCUCUAAAUGGGAGGUAAAUUUCUUCUAAAGCUAAAUACCGGCCAGAGACCGAUAGCGCACAAGUAGAGUGAUCGAAAGAUGAAAAGCACUUUGAAAAGAGGGUUAAAUAGUACGUGAAAUUGUUGAAAGGGAAGCGUUUGCGACCAGACCUUUUCUAGGCGGAUCAUCCGGUGUUCUCACCGGUGCACUUCGUCUGGUUUAGGCCAGCAUCGGUUUUCUUAGGGGGAUAAAGGCUUAGGGAACGUAGCUCUUUAGGGAGUGUUAUAGCCCUUUGCGUAAUACCUCUCGGGGGACCGAGGACCGCGCUCUGCAAGGAUGCUGGCGUAAUGGUCGUCAACGACCCGUCUUGAAACACGGACCAAGGAGUCGAACAUUUGUGCGAGUGUUUGGGUAUUAAACCCUCACGCGUAAUGAAAGUGAACGGAGGUGAGAGCCCUUACGGGUGCAUCAUCGACCGAUCCUGAUGUCUUCGGAUGGAUUUGAGUAAGAGCAUAACUGUUCGGACCCGAAAGAUGGUGAACUAUGCGUGGAUAGGGUGAAGCCAGAGGAAACUCUGGUGGAGGCUCGCAGCGGUUCUGACGUGCAAAUCGAUCGUCAAAUCUGCGCAUGGGGGCGAAAGACUUAUCGA
rnacentral:rRNA from 1 species